rnacentral:rRNA from 1 species
AUUGAACGCUGGCGGCAUGCCUUACACAUGCAAGUCGAACGGCAGCACGGGAGCAAUCCUGGUGGCGAGUGGCGAACGGGUGAGUAAAGUAUCGGAACGUGCCCAGUCGUGGGGGAUAACGUAGCGAAAGUUACGCUAAUACCGCAUACGAUCUAUGGAUGAAAGCGGGGGAUCGCAAGACCUCGCGCGAUUGGAGCGGCCGAUAUCAGAUUAGGUAGUUGGUGGGGUAAAGGCCCACCAUGCCGACGAUCUGUGGCUGGUCUGAGAGGACGACCAGCCACACUGGGACUGAGACACGGCCCAGACUCCUACGGGAGGCAGCAGUGGGGAAUUUUGGACAAUGGGCGAAAGCCUGAUCCAGCCAUGCCGCGUGCAGGAUGAAGGCCUUCGGGUUGUAAACUGCUUUUGUACGGAACGAAAAGGACUGCCCUAAUACGGUGGUCCCAUGACGGUACCGUAAGAAUAAGCACCGGCUAACUACGUGCCAGCAGCCGCCGUAAUAC